UAACGAAUCUUCCACAAUGCGCGAAAGCGUGAUGGAGCAAUGCCGCGUGCAGGAUGAAGCCCUUCGGGGUGUAAACUGCUGUCAGGUUUUAGGAACACAAUGACCAAAGCCAAAGGAAGAGACGACUAACUCUGUGCCAGCAGUCGCGGUAAUACAGAGGUCUCGAGCGUUAGUCGGAGUCACUGGGCUUAAAGCGUACGUAGGCGGAUAUGCAGGCGUCGUGUGAAAUCCCUCGGCUCAACCGAGGAACUGCACGGCGAACCGCAUAUCUUGAGAUCGGUAGGGGCGGUCGGAACGAUAGGUGGAGUGGUGAAAUGCGUUGAUAUCUAUCGGAACGCCGAAGGUGAAAACAGGCCGCUGGGCCGAUUCUGACGCUGAGGUACGAAAGCGUGGGUAGCGAACGGG
rnacentral:rRNA from 1 species